rnacentral:rRNA from 1 species
AGUGAACGCUGGCGGCGUGCUUAACACAUGCAAGUCGAACGAGAACGGAUUAUAGCUUGCUAUAAUUGUCAGCUAAGUGGCGCACGGGUGAGUAAUGUAUAGGUAAUAUGCCUCUUACUAAGGGAUAACAAAUGGAAACGUUCGCUAAUACCUUAUACUCCUUAUUAACAGAAGUUAAUAAGGGAAAGAUUUAUUGGUAAGAGAUUAGCCUGUAUUGUAUCAGUUAGUUGGUGGGGUAAUGGCUUACCAAGACUAUGACACAUAACUGGUUUGAGAGGAUGAUCAGUCACACUGGAACUGAGACACGGUCCAGACUCCUACGGGAGGCAGCAGUGGGGAAUAUUGCACAAUGGACGGAAGUCUGAUGCAGCAACGCCGCGUGGAGGAUGACACAUUUCGGUGCGUAAACUCCUUUUAUAUGAGAAGAUAAUGACGGUAUUAUAUGAAUAAGCACCGGCUAACUCCGUGCCAGCCGCCGCUGUAA